UACAGGGGGUGCAAACGUUGCUCGGAAUUAUUGGGCGUAAAGCGCGCGUAGGCGGCUACUUAAGUCGGAUGUGAAAGCCCUUGGCUCAACUAAGGAAGUGCACCCGAAACUGAGUGGCUUGAGUACUAAAGAGGGUCGCGGAAUUCCCGGUGUAGAGGUGAAAUUCGUAGAUAUCGGGAGGAACACCGGUGGCGAAGGCGGCGACCUGGGUAGAUACUGACGCUGAGGAGCGAAAGCGUGGGGAGCGAACAGG
rnacentral:rRNA from 1 species